rnacentral:rRNA from 1 species
CCUACGGGGGGCAGCAGUGAGGAAUAUUGGUCAAUGGACGCAAGUCUGAACCAGCCAUGCCGCGUGCAGGAAGACGGCUCUAUGAGUUGUAAACUGCUUUUUUACGAGGGUAAACUCAGAUACGCGUAUCUGUCUGAAAUUAUCGUACGAAUAAGGAUCGGCUAACUCAGUUCCAGCAGCCGAGGGGAUACGGAGGAUUAAAGCGUUAUCCGGUUUGAUUGGGUUUAAAGGGUGCGUAGGCGGUCGGAUAAGUUAGAGGUGAAAUCCCGAGGCGCAACUUCGGAAUUGCCUUUGAUACUGUUAGGCUAGAGAGUAGUUGCGGUAGGCGGAAUGUAUGGUGUAGCGGUGAAAUGCUUAGAGAUAAUACAGAACACCGAUUGCGAAGGCAGCUUACCAAGCUACUUCUGACGUUGAGGCACGAAAGCGUGGGGAGCAAACAGGAUUAGAUACCUUUGUAGUC